rnacentral:lncRNA from 1 species
CAUAAACACUUCAAAUUCUCAGUGGUUCUUUCUGAAUUAUAAACUCCAUGAAGACCCAAUUCCAUCAGCAGCCAUUGGAAGUUUUUGACAAAAUGGGAAGAUCACUGCUGUAUAUUUGUAGUUUAAAUAGCGAGCAUUUAAAGCUUUCUCUGAGGCAGUUUCUGGAAAGUUAAAGACUAAUGAGAAAAACAGCUGAAGAAACUCUCCCCAAUGAGUUUAUGUCCCUAAGCGAUGAAUUUUUGAAUGGUGCAAUGUUCUAACAUGUGAUGGACAGCGAAUUCCCAGAGAAUCAUCAAGUACACUUUGGAAUAAAUGAACAGCAGGACAUAUUUUUUAAGGAGUGCUGAGCCGCAGUAAAACUCCAGAGAAUGCU